UACGUAGGGGGCGAGCGUUGUCCGGAUUUAUUGGGCGUAAAGAGCGUGUAGGCGGUUCGGUAAGUCUGCCGUGAAAACCUGAGGCUCAACCUCGGGCGUGCGGUGGAUACUGCCGGGCUAGAGGACGGUAGAGGCGAGUGGAAUUCCCGGUGUAGCGGUGAAAUGCGCAGAUAUCGGGAGGAACACCAGUAGCGAAGGCGGCACGCUGGGCCGUUCCUGACGCUGAGACGCGAAAGCUAGGGGAGCAAACAGG
rnacentral:rRNA from 1 species